GAUGAACGCUGGCGGCGUGCCUAAUACAUGCAAGUCGAGCGAACAGACGAGGAGCUUGCUCCUCUGACGUUAGCGACGGACGGGUGAGUAACACGUGGAUAACCCUCCUAUUAGUCUUGGAUAACUUCGUGAAACCGGAGCUAAUACUGGAUAAUAUAUUGUACCGCAUGGUUCAAUAGUUCAUGACGGUUUUGCUGUUACUUAUAGAUGAUUCCGCGUCGCAUUAGCUAGUUGGUAAGGUAACGGCUUACCAAGGCAACGAUGCGUAGCCGACCUGAGAGGGUGAUCGGCCACACUGGAACUGGGACACGGUCCAGACUCCUACGGGAGGCAGCAGUAGGGAAUCUUCCACAAUGGGCGAAAGCCUGACGGAGCAACGCCGCGUGAGUGAAGAAGGACUUCGGAUCGUAAAACUCUGUUAUUAGGGAAGAACAAAUGCAUAAGUAACUAUGCACGGCUUGACGGUACCUAAACAGUAAGCCACGGCUAACUUCGUG
rnacentral:rRNA from 1 species